rnacentral:rRNA from 1 species
AUUGAACGCUGGCGGCAUGCUUUACACAUGCAAGUCGGACGAGUGGCGAACGGGUGAGUAACGCAUCGGAACGUACCUAGUAAUGGGGGAUAACUGUCCGAAAGGACAGCUAAUACCGCAUACUAUUCGAUCGGCCGAUGUCUGAUUAGCUGGUUGGUGGGGUAAAGGCUCACCAAGGCGACGAUCAGUAGCGGGUCUGAGAGGGUGAUCCGCCACACUGGGACUGAGACACGGCCCAGACUCCUACGGGAGGCAGCAGUGGGGAAUAUUGGACAAUGGGCGCAAGCCUGAUCCAGCCAUGCCGCGUGUAUGAAGAAGGCCUUCGGGUUGUAAAGUACUGUUGGCAGGGAAGCGGUACCUGAAGAAUAAGCACCGGCUAACUACGUGCCAGCAGCCGCGGUAAUAC